AAAAAAAAAUCGAAACAAAGCUCUGCGUGAAAAAUUAAGAGCGGCAAAACUCCCGCUUUUGUUUCACCCACCUCAUAUCAUUUCAGCCCCCACACACAUUUUUGUCCACACACACUCACCUCACUCACCUUCUAUAAUCACCGGUGUCUUCAAACUCAGCUCUUCGACGAUUGGGUAACUUUUGGGGACAACUGAAUCGAGUUCUCUCUCAAUCGAUUUCAUCGUUAUUAGGGUUUUGGUUUCAGGACUUCAAUUAAAUUAGGGAUCCACUCCAACAUGAAUGGCUUGAGUCGAAUUAGGGCUUUUCACUUCAAUUGGGGCUUCGAAUUCUUGGAUUGUGAUUUAAGAUAACAUCCCUGCUGUUGGUAUGGCAAUGGAGGGUGCGACUAUGUCAAAAAACCUGAAUUCUUACUGAAGUCUAUUCCAAAUAUUAGCAUAUUUGAUCCCAAAGUAAAGCUUCCAGUGAAGAAAUUCUAUGAAGGUUUCAUAUCUCUUCAGAAAUCCAGAAGUUUUGGACAUGGUUACAUUCAAGGUGCCACUUAUUCUUCAGCUGUUAGUGGAAGAGUGAAGAUAUUUUGUUUAUUGAAAGAAAAAUGAAGUGUUGUGCAAAGUUGUGAGUGACUAAAGUUGUGAGGCGAUAAACUGAUUUGGUAGCUGCUUUGAUUUGAUUCCAUUUGGUAGUUACUUUUGUUUGUAUCAAAGAAUAGUUUAUUGAGAUGUUUAACAUUUAAAGUGUAUAUUUUCAACUCCUUUCGGUAAAUAAUGUUGCUUUCGAUUAAUAAAAUGGGGCAGCUGCUGUAGUAAAAUGUUUGAAAGUUA